AAAACCCUUUCCAAUUUUCCCCCAUUGCAUUCCCUCUCUUGCGACUCUGUUUCUCUUCUUCUCUCAUUGCUCAUUGUCUUCCAUCCUAUGUUGUUAGCGUUGAAAAUGCGAUGGAUCCUUAACCGGUGUUCGAAGUGGUUAAGGUUUGUCGGCGUUCGACUGCGGCUAAAAGUCCUCGACGAAUUUCGGCUGCGAUGAAUAAUCGAUUCUAUCGCCACUCAACCACCGAACCACUUGCACGAGAACACACCAAAACACCAAGAGAUCACAAUUCUCGCAACACCAAACCACGGAAAAAAAAAGAAGGAACAGAGUGAACGCGGUGGGGUGCGGCCAGAAUCAUUUAAUGCAAAGGGUAUGAGAAAUUUGGAGGUGCAGCCAAAACUCAGG